GAUGAACGCUGGCGGCGUGCCUAAUACAUGCAAGUCGAGCGAACAGACGAGGAGCUUGCUCCUCUGACGUUAGCGGCGGACGGGUGAGUAACACGUGGAUAACCUACCUAUAAGACUGGGAUAACUUCGGGAAACCGGAGCUAAUACCGGAUAAUAUAUUGAACCGCAUGGUUCAAUAGUGAAAGACGGUUUUGCUGUCACUUAUAGAUGGAUCCGCGCCGCAUUAGCUAGUUGGUAAGGUAACGGCUUACCAAGGCAACGAUGCGUAGCCGACCUGAGAGGGUGAUCGGCCACACUGGAACUGAGACACGGUCCAGACUCCUACGGGAGGCAGCAGUAGGGAAUCUUCCGCAAUGGGCGAAAGCUUGACGGAGCAACGCCGCGUGAGUGAUGAAGGUCUUCGGAUCGUAAAACUCUGUGAUGAGGGAAGAACAAAUGUGUAAGUAACUAUGCACGUCUUGACGGUACCUAAUCAGAAAGCCACGGCUAACUACGUG
rnacentral:rRNA from 1 species